GAGGAUGUAGUUCAGUGGUAGAGUGCGUGCUUAGCAUACACAAAGUCCUGGGUUCAAUCCCCAGUAUCUUCA
rnacentral:tRNA from 1 species